UACGUAGGGUGCAAGCGUUGUCCGGAAUUAUUGGGCGUAAAGAGCUCGUAGGCGGUCUGUCGCGUCGGCUGUGAAAACUCGGGGCUCAACCCCGAGCCUGCAGUCGAUACGGGCUGGCUUGAGUGCGGUAGGGGAGACUGGAAUUCCUGGUGUAGCGGUGAAAUGCGCAGAUAUCAGGAGGAACACCGGUGGCGAAGGCGGCAUCCUGGACCGGUAUUGACGCUGAGGCGCGAAAGCUAGGGGAGCAAACGGG
rnacentral:rRNA from 1 species